rnacentral:lncRNA from 1 species
AAAAUGAGGAAGUUGAUGGUAAGUGCCAUUUCUGUUGUGGCCAUUGAAGUUCAAUUUGUUUCUUUGAUCGUAAGUUAAAAGACUCUCUUAUUUAGGAACGGAGGCUGGAAUAUCUUCUCAAGACCAAACUAUAGAGUGAUGAAGUGGUAAGCAUCGACGCAGUUUAUGAUUUCAAGCAUUGACUAAUGGGUUGCCAAUCAUAUUGCUUACUUGAAUAUUUUGUCAGAUAUCACUAAAAAGUGUCAUUUAAUUUUCUUUAGCAGGCUGAAGUAGCGAGCUCUGAGAAGGAACAAUUAUUACUUGUUAAAAUUUCAGAAUUAAACUUUUGGUAUGCCCACUUCUGCACAAGUGAUGUUACAAGAAAUCCACUGCUGAACAUCACAACAACAGUUUUGCAAAUUUACAACUCCAUAUCACAGAUCAAUCGUUGUUAUGGCACCAUUUAUGUUCUGGUUUUGCAAAGGAACACACUUUAACUAUCAAAAUGGAUUGGAUAUUUUAGU